rnacentral:rRNA from 1 species
GAUGAACGCUGGCGGCGUGCCUAAUACAUGCAAGUCGAGCGAACGGACGAGAAGCUUGCUUCUCUGAUGUUAGCGGCGGACGGGUGAGUAACACGUGGAUAACCUACCUAUAAGACUGGGAUAACUUCGGGAAACCGGAGCUAAUACCGGAUAAUAUUUUGAACCGCAUGGUUCAAAAGUGAAAGACGGUCUUGCUGUCACUUAUAGAUGGAUCCGCGCUGCAUUAGCUAGUUGGUAAGGUAACGGCUUACCAAGGCAACGAUGCAUAGCCGACCUGAGAGGGUGAUCGGCCACACGGGAACUGAGACACGGUCCAGACUCCUACGGGAGGCAGCAGUAGGGAAUCUUCCGCAAUGGGCGAAAGCCUGACGGAGCAACGCAGCGUGAGUGAUGAAGGUCUUCGGAUCGUAAAACUCUGUUAUUAGGGAAGAACAUAUGUGUAAGUAACUGUGCACAUCUUGACGGUACCUAAUCAGAAAGCCACGGCUAACUACGUG